AUUGAACGCUGGCGGCAGGCCUAACACAUGCAAGUCGAGCGGAUGAGGGAAGCUUGCUUCCCGAUUUAGCGGCGGACGGGUGAGUAACGCCUAGGAAUCUGCCUGUUAGUGGGGGAUAACGUUCCGAAAGGAACGCUAAUACCGCAUACGUCCUACGGGAGAAAGUGGGGGAUCUUCGGACCUCACGCUAAUAGAUGAGCCUAGGUCGGAUUAGCUAGUUGGUGAGGUAACGGCUCACCAAGGCGACGAUCCGUAGCUGGUCUGCGAGGAUGAUCAGCCACACUGGAACUGAGACACGGUCCAGACUCCUACGGGAGGCAGCAGUGGGGAAUAUUGGACAAUGGGCGAAAGCCUGAUCCAGCCAUGCCGCGUGUGUGAAGAAGGUCUUCGGAUUGUAAAGCACUUUAAGUUGGGAGGAAGAGUUGUAAGCUAAUAUCUUGCAGCUUUGACGUUACCAACAGAAUAAGCACCGGCUAACUCUGUGCCAGCCGCCGCCGUAAGAC
rnacentral:rRNA from 1 species